UACAGAGGUCUCAAGCGUUGUUCGGAUUCAUUGGGCGUAAAGGGUGUGUAGGUGGCGCUGUAAGUCGGGUGUGAAAUUUCGGAGCUUAACUCCGAAACUGCAUUCGAUACUGCGGUGCUUGAGGACUGGAGUGCGGUAGGGGAGAUCGGAAUUCCUGGUGUAGCGGUGAAAUGCGCAGAUAUCAGGAGGAACACCGGUGGCGAAGGCGGUUCUCUGGGCAUGUCCUGACGCUGGAGGAGCGAAAGUGUGGGGAGCGAACAGG
rnacentral:rRNA from 1 species